UACGGAGGGUGCAAGCAUUAAUCGGAUUUAUUGGGCGUAAAGGGCGCGUAGGCGGAAAGAUAAGUCAGUUGUGAAAUCCCGGGGCUCAACCCCGGAACAGCAUUUGAAACUGUCUUUCUAGAGGGUAGGCGGAGAAAACGGAAUUCCACAAGUAGCGGUGAAAUGCGUAGAUAUGUGGAAGAACACCGGUGGCGAAGGCGGUUUUCUAGCUUACUCCUGACGCUGAGGCGCGAAAGCAAGGGGAUCAAACAGG
rnacentral:rRNA from 1 species